rnacentral:rRNA from 1 species
UACGAAGGGGGCUAGCGUUGCUCGGAAUUACUGGGCGUAAAGCGCACGUAGGCGGUCUUUUAAGUCGGGGGUGAAAUCCUGGAGCUCAACUCCAGAACUGCCUUCGAUACUGGAAGACUUGAGUCCGGGAGAGGUGAGUGGAACUGCGAGUGUAGAGGUGAAAUUCGUAGAUAUUCGCAAGAACACCAGUGGCGAAGGCGGCUCACUGGUCCGGUACUGACGCUGAGGUGCGAAAGCGUGGGGAGCAAACAGGG